CCCCUCGUAGUUCAAUGGAUAGAAUAGGGCCCUCCUAAGGCUUAGAUGUAGGUUCGAUUCCUACCGAGGGGACCA
rnacentral:tRNA from 2 species